AAAAAUUAUAUAAUUAUCCAUUUUUAUUAUUAUUAAGCAAAACUAAAAGUUAAAGUUAAAAAAAAAGAAGGACAAGCUAAUGCGGGAGUUCCCGCAUUAGCGCGCCUCCCGAUGCUCAAUCCCAAUGAAGUUCAGCUGCUGCCAAACAUGUUAUUGGUUUAAAUUUAUGUUGGGCCCACAAUUAAUCCUAUGUAACACCACACACCAAACGCACCCGAAAGGUUGAAUUUGGAAGCCUCAAUUAUGGACCAGCAAACACUUAGGUCCACUUUCGGCAAAUUUGAAUUACCCCAUUAACGGGAGGAAAGCAAAUAAACUCCAUAUCAAGAAUAACAAACGACACAGGAAUAUGUUUGUGUACAGUGUAUAUGUGCAGUGGCAUCUUUUUCUAAUCAAUUGAUUUUUUUCUUUUUUGUUUAUUCAUUUACUAAUUAAGAAAAUCAAAGUAAUGUAGUAUGUAAGAAAAAUGUUUCAAGGCCAUGUUUGGUUUAAAGAAAGGGAAUGAGAGAAAAAAAAAGUGGAAUGGAAGGGAAGGGAGAAAAAAGGAGUGGGGGAAAAUAGUAAAAUUAAAUUUUAUUGUUUGGUUUGACAUAAAAUUUGAUAGGGAAAUGAAUUAUAAUUUUUUUCUUUGGACAAAUUUAUCAUUGGCCUUAAGUAUUAAAUUACUUAUAUUAGUAAUGAGCUAUAAUUUAAUAUCAAUACCGAACUUUUUUAAUGUCAAAAAGUCCUAAAACUAUUUAAGAUUUAUAUUUAAUAUAAAAUAUAAAAUAAUUUAAUAUACUAAACUAUUUAAUAUAAUUUAAUAUGAAAUAUAAUUUUUUUAAGCUAAUAUGAAAUAUAAUUUAAUAUAAAUAAAAGACAGUCAACGACGGUGGUCAACAGAAGUCAAUGGCAGCCAACGGCCGCUUUCCGGCGAAAUUCCGCGCAGCUUCCGGCAAUGGUCUAAGGAUCCGGUAGAGCUUUGGCGACAGUCCGGUGGAGGUCCGGGGAAGUUCUAGCGGCUGUCCGUGUGGAGUUCCGGUGAAGUUCUGCGAUGUUCCGGUGGAUCUCUAGGAAAUUUCAACAAAGUUCCGGUGACGGUUAAUUUAUAUUUUUAUAUUUUCAAAAUA
rnacentral:lncRNA from 1 species